rnacentral:rRNA from 2 species
GGAGGAAAAGAAACCAACAGGGAUUGCCUCAGUAACGGCGAGCGAAGCGGCAAAAGCUCAAAUUUGAAAUCUGGCGUCAUUCUGGCGUCCGAGUUGUAAUUUGAAGAUGGCAACUUUGGGAAUGGCUCUCGCAUAUGUUCCUUGGAACAGGACGUCAUAGAGGGUGAGAACCCCGUUCAUGGCGAGAUGACCCAGUCCUAUGUAAAGUGCUUUCUAAGAGUCGAGUUGUUUGGGAAUGCAGCUCUAAGUGGGUGGUAAAUUCCAUCUAAGGCUAAAUAUUGGCGAGAGACCGAUAGCGAACAAGUACAGUGAUGGAAAGAUGAAAAGAACUUUGAAAAGAGAGUGAAAAAGUACGUGAAAUUGUUGAAAGGGAAGGGCUUGAAGUCAGACUUGGUAUUCAGUGAUCAACUGUCUUUCGGGACUGUGCACUCGCUGUUUACUGGGCCAGCAUCGGUUUAGGCGGUGAGAUAAAUGCAAAAGAAUGUGGCUCUGCCUUCGGGUAGAGUGUUAUAGCUUUUGUUCAUAUCACCAGCUUAGACCGAGGACCGCGCUUCGGCUAGGAUGCUGGCGUAAUGACUUUAAGCCACCCGUCU